CCGCGCCGCUGCUGCCCGCCGCCGCGCCGCGCAGCCCUUUCGCUCCGCUGCGCUCCGCCCCGGCCGGGGCCGACGGCGGCGCGGGGGCGCUGGGAGUCCCGCCCGCACGGGCACGGGCGCGCACACGCACACCACACACACGCACGCGGAAGUGCACCCCGAGCUGGCUCGCAGCCCGGCGCCGCCGCCGCCGAGGCCGCCCCGGCGCAGCGUGCAACAUGGCGCUGGUGCCCUGCCAGGUGCUGCGCGCCGCCAUCCUCCUGUCCUAUUGCUCCAUCCUGUGCAAUUACAAGGCCAUUGACAUGCCCGCGCAUCAGACCUAUGGAGGCAGCUGGAAAUUUCUGACCUUCAUAGACCUGGAAUUGUACCUGCGCUGUGUGAGAUAGUGAAAGCAAACUUGAAUUUGAAAUAUAAAAGUGAAAGUCAGGAGGGGAUGUGGGAGCGUUCCUCACUUUUUCUGCCUCAGAGGUGAAUGCUAGGGCUUUGGGGCCAAGUUGUAUGGAGUGAAGCAGGAAGGGGUGGCUGCAGUUCAGUCCCUGGUGGGUGGCACAUGUCUGAGGUGAUCCAGGCUGUCUUCUUUGGGAUCUGCGUCUUGACCGACCUGUCCAGUCUUCUCACUAAAGGAAAUGACAGUCAAGAGCAAGAGAGGCAGCUGAAAAAACUCAUUUCCCUCCGUGACUGGGUGAUGGCUGUUCUAGCUUUCCCUGUUGGAGUGAUUUUGCCUUCCUCUGUGGUGACGUGGUGGCUGUUACAGGAACCUGAGCGAGCAGUUGUGCAGUUGCCUCCUGAACUCUGUUCUCCGAGGGGAGUCUUCCCUGAUUUUCAGUUCCCACUCCUUGUGAUUUCCUUCAUUGUCCUUUUUCAAAUUCAUUCAGUGUAAUGCUAUGCUAGGACUAGAUCCCACCUAAAGCCAGUACCAUGCCAAUUUGUGCUUACUGUGGUCUGCCUUUAAUAACACUUUGCUUCUAUAUGUAAUGCCUUUAACCCUCAAAGAGGCUCACAAUGUUUUUAUACUUGCAGUUAACCACAAAUGUCUUGGGAGAUAGCCAGAAAUCUUACCUUUAACUGUACUUAGAAGAAAUUUUGUCAAGGGGUUUUUUUUUCUUUGUCAUGAGGCCUUCCAGGAAAUGAGUGAACUGAACUGUGCAGCCCAGCCAAAACCAAAAACCCAUACUGCAGGAAAAUAAAGUUCCACUGGGUUCAUCCUUUGUUUGCAUAACAUUUCUUGGUUGGGCUCAUGUAAAACAGCAAAUUAUGCAAUUCUUUUCACUGGCUUUCCUCUCUUAGUUUCUUUUUGCUUCCAUUUGUGGUGUUUUGAUAAAGCCACUUGUUUUCCCUUUUGAAUCACCAACUGUUUCCCAACUUGUCCUUUAAAAUUUUUCCCUUGGCAGUGCCACAUGCUCUUCUCAUGUCCUCUGAAGCUUUAGAGACAGAGGACAAAAACUCAAGGAAUAUCUCCUUAAGUGGGAAAACAGAGUUUAGUUUUCAGCCUUAUUUUUUUCCUGCUGCUAUUUGUUUAGCAAUACUUUAGAUGCCUGUGACAAGUGAGCUACUCCCUAUUUUCAAACAGUUUCCAAGGCCUCUUGCAAAUUUGAGGUUCCCUUUGGUCUGUAAUGACCCUAGAUAGGAUAAGUAGCAAAUGAGAGACUCUGCUGUUCUUUUAUAUGUUCCUUAACCUUAUGUUUAACCAAGUAAUUGCUGUCUUUGGAAAGCUGGCAAUCUUAGGAGGCUCCUGUGCAAAGAAGUGUAAAAGCAAUUGCUGAUGCCUGUUUUCUUCCUUGAAUUCCAGGCCUUGAGUUUGUCUAAGGAGGAAGUGGAAGGGUGACAUUUGUGCCAUUUUGCCUUGGGAACAAAAGAAAAUAAAAGUAUUGGGCUUCCUGAAAUAUGUCUGCUGCAUAUGAGCAGCUUGUUCAGCCUGGCAUGUGAGGGUAGUGCCAUGACUGUCUCCACAGUAGUGAUGAAUUGUGCCACAAGGAAGGCAGCAUGAGCAUAAGAGCUGCAAUUCUGAUUGAGCCUUACAUAGGCAGUGUAAAGAAGCAGCUCAAUUGUAUCAUGGUCUGGCACUACAUGACCAUGUGUGAUCUUGGCAAAGCCCAGCCCAAAUAAAAGUGUGCCAGUAGUGUAAGCAUAGUAGAGGUGAUUUAAACUUAACCAGAUGAGACCAAACAAAUUCAGAAGCAGCCAAGGUAACUGAGUAGCAGGUCCUCAUUAUAGUUCUUUUUAUCCAAAUAGUUCAUUUUUAUAGUUCAUUUUAGUCCAUAGUGCAAUAGUUCAUUUUUAUAGGUCAUUUUAUCCAAAUGAACUAAUUGUAAGGAAAGGUAAGGUGAACCGUUCAGACACUGGAAGGGAUCUUCCCCAGGGCAUUGCGUUAGUCUCAUGUCAGGUCAUCCUCCGAGAUAGGUUAGUUCUGUAACACCUUGGGUUUUGUGCACUUCCUUCACCUUAUGUCUGCCUUGUGAUAGUGCUUUGCUAAGCAGCAUUUGCCGUCUGUAGCUCCAGAUGGUUGCAACCAGCUAGGCUUGAUCCCGUUCCAUCCAUUGGCUGACUUUGGUUAAGGGACAGAUGGCAUGUCCCCUCUUUUCUUAUCUUUACCUCCUUGGCAAAGUCUAUUGUUUUAUUCUGCUCCACACAAAUAUCACAGGUCAAAACAUGGCAGCUUUGUUGUAUUCAGUGUAAUAAGGUUCAACCCAAUCCUGGUUGAUUUUUCUUGCUGUAAGACUUCCUUGGAGAAAAGCAUUAUCAUCUUGGACUUCAUGUGCCUGAGAACAUGUUUUUAUGUCCCAGUUGGUCUUAGCAGGUUCUCAGAGACCCACUGUGAUAAUACAUGACUUCUAGGAAGCCUAUAGAGAAGAGGAUACUUUGCUUCCAUUUUCCCUGCUGUUCAGCUAUUCAUAUCUUGGCACUUAUGUGUCAGCAGGUGCAUAAAGAGCUAGGCUGUGCCAAUGCCAAGACUGGCCCAGAAGAGAGACUUCUUGUGGGGUACUUUACACUUGCAAUAUUUUUCGGGCUGUCCGUCAUAACCUAUUUUUUUUCCUGGCCUCUGUGUGCUAGUCAAAUAGUCCAAGCUUAUUCUGAGCAGGCACUGAUAGCUAUCAUAACAGAUGGACAAGUGUGUUGGAAACCAAGAAACUAUGUACUGUAUGCACACUGAAGGAACAGUGUACUGGUUCAGGUCAUUCACACAGACUGGCUGGCCGAUGUCUGCAUGUCUGUGGUUAGAACAAGGUGCCAUUGAUAAACUGCAACCUCAAUUUUAACUUUCCAAAGUCAGAAGCAUAUGAAACAACUUACGCCUACACUAUCACACACACUAGUAAUUUGGUGACCUUGCCGUGCUCACCCCAUAUUUCUUGCACUUUCUUUUACUGACACCCCAAAUUAGCUGUAAGAUCAUGGGCCACAUCGGUUGGAUGUAACUGAAUACUUCCCUGCUGAUCUCAGUGAAAGUUGUAUCUGUUGCCUCUCAAACUUUAAACUUGGACUUGUCACUACUGUGU